UACAGAGGGUGCGAGCGUUGUCCGGAAUCACUGGGCGUAAAGGGCGCGUAGGUGGCGCGACAAGUCAGUGGUGAAAGUUCGACGCUUAACGUCGAAUCGGCCACUGAUACUGUCGGGCUUGAGCACUGUAGAGGCUAAUGGAAUUCCGGGUGUAGCGGUGGAAUGCGUAGAGAUCCGGAAGAACACCGGUGGCGAAGGCGGUUAGCUGGGCAGUUGCUGACACUGAGGCGCGACAGCGUGGGGAGCAAACAGG
rnacentral:rRNA from 1 species